UAGUUGGUGGAGUGAUUUGUCUGGUUAAUUCCGUUAACGAACGAGACCUCGACCUGCUAAAUAGUUCGACUAGCCCUUCGGGGCUGGCGCGUGACUUCUUAGAGGGACUAUCGGUGUGUAGCCGGUGGAAGUUCGAGGCAAUAACAGGU
rnacentral:rRNA from 1 species